AAUAUAUUAUCAAAAUCUAAUCAAUGAAAUGCCUAAAAGACCUAACAACUGGCGAUUGAAUAUGAAAACAUUUGCAGAACGACUUUCUUUUAUUUUUAA